UACGUAGGGUCCGAGCGUUGUCCGGAAUUACUGGGCGUAAAGAGCUCGUAGGUGGUUUGUCGCGUUGUUCGUGAAAACUCACAGCUUAACUGUGGGCGUGCGGGCGAUACGGGCAGACUUGAGUACUGCAGGGGAGAUUGGAACUCCUGGUGUAGCGGUGGAAUGCGCAGAUAUCAGGAAGAACACCGAUGGCGAAGGCAGAUCUCUGGGCCGUAACUGACGCUGAGGAGCGAAAGCAUGGGGAGCGAACAGG
rnacentral:rRNA from 1 species